GAUGAACGCUGGCGGCGUGCUUAACACAUGCAAGUCGAACGGAAAGGCCCAAGCUUGCUUGGUUACUCAAGUGGCGAACGGGUGAGUAACAAGUGGGUGAUCUGCCCUCCACUUCGGGAUAAGCCUGUGAAACUGGGUCUAACACCGGAUAGGACCACGUCUUUGAUGUUGUGGUGGAAAGUUUUUUCGGGUUGGGAUGAGCUGGCGGCCUAUCAGCUUGUUGGUGGGGUAAUGGCCUACCAAGGCGUCGACGGGUAGCCGGCCUGAGAGGGUGUACGGCCACAUUGGGACUGAGAUGCGGCACAGACUCCUAAGGGAGGCCGAAGUGCGGAAUCUUGCCCAAGGGGCGCAAGGCUGAUGAAGAGACGCCGCGUGGGGGAUGACGGCCUUCGGGUUGUAAACUCCUUUCGCUAGAGCCGAAGCGGUUUGUGACGGUACCUGGCGAAGAAGCAACGGCUAACUACGUG
rnacentral:rRNA from 1 species